AUUGAACGCUGGCGGCAGGCCUAACACAUGCAAGUCGAGCGAGCGGCGGACGGGUGAGCAAGGGAUGGGGAUCUGCCUGACGGACGGGGAUAACUAGUGGAAACGUUAGCUAAUACCGCAUACGGUCCGAUGGACCCAUAUGGGAUUAGCUUGUAGGUAAGGUAACGGCUCACCUAGGCGUCGAUGCCUAGCAGGUCUGAGAGGAUGAUCGGCCAGACUGGGACUGAGACACGGCCCAGACUCCUACGGGAGGCAGCAGUGGGGAAUCUUGCACAAUGGGCGAAAGCCUGAUGCAGCCAUGCCGCGUGUAUGAAGAAGGUCUUCGGGUCGUAAAGUACUUUUAGUAGAGAAGCGGUAUCGACAGAAGAAGCACCGGCUAACUACGUGCCAGCCGCCGCGGUAAUAC
rnacentral:rRNA from 1 species